CCAAAGGCUCUUUUAAGAGCCACCCACAUGCCCACAAAGAGAGCUG
rfam:Ictidomys tridecemlineatus contig091234, whole genome shotgun sequence.